AUAAUAAUAAUAAUAUCAUCACUGACUCAUUGGAGGUGGAGUUUACUUUCAGGAGAAUGCAAAACCCAUUUCUUUGUCUCUAAUGGAGGUCAGCCUCACCGUGAAACAGGCGAAGCCCCCAGGGAGAGGGCUGCUGACAUUUCCUCACAUUUCCAGAGCUUCAGUCAGCAGGAGAAUUUAUUAAGGUAAUGGGGUUGCUUUUAUAUAAGUAAUUAUAUAAAAUUCUAUGCUAAUAAUAUGUAACAUUACUCAUUGUAAUCUUGAUUAUUUUAAUUAUAUGGUGGCACCAUUGUGUGCAGCGUUUUACAGCCUGACGCGCUCUUGAACCAAGCUCAUCCAGGGCCAGCUGAAGCAGCCCUGCACGCUCUGACAGAGGUUGUCUUUACUGUGACUCUCCCAGGGAGCAAGUCCUCACACUCAAGGUGGCUUCUAGCGUACCUCUGAAGUAUCUUUCCCCCUUUUCCAAGAAUAUAAGCAGAGCCCUACUGGAUCAAGCCAAUGGCCCAUCUAGUCCAGCAUCCUCUUCUCACAGAUGCUCUAAAGUGCCAACUAAUAGUUCAGUAGGUAGAACCCCACAAGCAGGACCUCAGCACAAGAGCCCUCUCCCUUCCCACAGCUUCCAGCAACUGGAAUCCAGAAGCAUUUCUGCCUCCUCUGUGGAGGCGAUCUGUAGCCAUCAUGGCUUGUAGAAGAAGAAGAAGAGUUUGGAUUUGAUAUCCCGCUUUAUCACUACCCGAAGGAGCCUCAAAGCGGCUAACAUUCUCCUUUCCCUUCCUCCCCCACAACAAACGCUCUGUGAGGUGAGUAGGGCUGAGAGACUUCAGAGAAGUUUGACUAGCCCAAGGUCACCCAGCAGCUGCAUGUGGAGGAGCGGGGAAGCGAACCCGGUUCACCAGAUUACGAGUCUACUGCUCUUAACCACUACACCACACUAGCUCUCUCUUGUACCCGUGGAUAGCCUUCCCCUCCACAAAUUUGUUCAAUCUUCCUUUGAAGCAAUCCAGAUUGGUUGCACCAUAUUUUGUUGUUUGAUACUGAUUAAUCAAUCAAUCAAUCAAUCAAGCUCUCCCCUCCCUCCUCUUUUUUCAGGUAUCCUGUUGGAGCUUAUCAGGAUAAGCGUAGAAGAGACAGCAAAGCUAGUCUGCCCAGAAUUAGAUGUUUUGCCUCAAUACAAAUCAAACCCAGUGUGUCACAUUUUGAACCUGGCAUAAAUACAUCUAAAUGUACGAGGGUGGCUAUGGCAAAUGUGUCUGCGGAUGUCAUCAUUCACCAGGGCCAACCUUACCCUUGUUCUUACAGUAGCCAGCCAAAUGAUUGUGGGAAAUCACCAAGCAGGACUUUUGCAAGAGCACUCUCCUCUUCCUGUGGUUUUCAGUAACAGAAGCAUUUGAUGCCUCCCACAAUGGAGCCAAAACAUAGCCAUUAUUGUGUCUAGGAGCUAAUUGAUAGCCUUACCCUCCAAGGCCAUUGGCCAUGCUGGUUAGCGAUGAUGGGAGUUGGAGUCCAGUAAUAUCUGGCUGGCCUCAGGUUCCCCACCUCUGGUCUACAUUGAUGGGCAGCAGCUCUCAGGGUUUCAGGCAGGAAUCUUUACCAGCCCUACCUGGAGAUGCCAUUAGGAAUUGAACAUGGGAUCUUCCGUUUGCGAGGCAGAUACUUAACCAAUCAGUUGGCGUCCUUCUGUUCAAAUCUAAACCACACUCAGCAGCUAUUCCCACGGAAAAGCAUUACUUCUAAGCAAAGGAUUCUGCUGCUUCCGUUUUCAGCCCACUUCCAUAAAAUAAAAUAAAAAGACCCC
rnacentral:lncRNA from 1 species